rnacentral:rRNA from 1 species
AAUGAACGCUGGCGGCGUGCUUUACACAUGCAAGUCGAGCGAGGCGGGUAGCAAUACCCAGUCGAGCGGCGAACGGGUGAGUAACGCGUGGAUUAUCUGCCCUGAGGUGGGGGAUAACCCGGGGAAACUCGGGCUAAUACCGUAUAUGACCGUGAGGUCAAAGGGGGCUCGCAAGGGCUCUCGCCAUAGGAGGAGUCCGCGUUCGAUUAGCUAGUUGGUAGGUAAUGGCCUACCAAGGCGACGAUCGAUAGCCGGCCUGAGAGGGUGAUCGGCCACACUGGAACUGAGACACGGUCCAGACUCCUACGGGAGGCAGCAGUGGGGAAUUUUGCGCAAUGGGCUAACGCCUGACGCAGCAACGCCGCGUGGGAGGAUGAAGGUCCUUGGAUUGUAAACUCCUGUCAGCAGGGAAAAAGCAACUUAGCCUAAUACGCUAGGGAGUUGAUUGUACCUGCAGAGGAACGCCCC